GUUCCCUGUGCAGUUUGUUUCUGUGUGGUAGCUUGUGGUAAAAGCGUUUAAGCUGGGCAUAGUGGAAUUGGUAGACGUUCCUCCUUCCGUCAUUUCUCGUAAGGUCUUCAGCCCCAUCUCUGUUAGUGUCGUGUGUAGUGGGACAUAUCCUUCCUGGUUGACCAGUGGCCAUGCGGACGGUGGUAAUCCGUCUCCUAUGUUUGAGUUGUGGGUGAUGGGGAUCAUCGGGCUUGG